CAAUAGCGUAUACUAAAGUUGUUGCGAUUAAAAAGCUCGUAGUUGGAUCUCAGGCAUGGGCGCACGGUCCGCCUCGCGGCGGUCACUGUGUGUUUUGUUUCCCAUCCUACGCUUCCCGGUUAUCAGCCCAUGGUGCUCUUCACUGGGCGUUUUGGGUGGCCGGAACGUUUACUUUGAAGAAAUUAGAGUGUUCAAAGCAGGCACGUUGCCUGAAUAAUGGUGCAUGGAAUAAUGGAAUAGGACCUCGGUUCUAUUUUGCUGGUUUUCGGAACACGAGGUAAUGAUUAAGAGGGACAGACGGGGGCAUCCGUAUUGCGGUGUUAGAGGUGAAAUUCUUGGAUCAUCGCAAGACGAACAACUGCGAAAGCAUUUGCCAAGCAUGUUUUCAUUAG
rnacentral:rRNA from 1 species